GCCACACAGAUGCCUGGGACCAAAGUUAUCGUCCUGAUUUAAUGAAAAGGAUGCUGAGGCUCAGGUGAAGUGACCUGCUCAAGACCAUGCAGGUGGUUGAGGUUGGAUCUGAGGACAGCAGACCUCCUCCCUGGAAGCCCAAGCCUCUCCCUGAGUCUGAUGGCUCCCUCAGAAUUGAGUGGACAUUUAAAAAACACCUACUGUAUAAAUAACCUCCCCAAAGUUCCUGGCAGUUCAAGCAUAAGAAGAUAAAGCAGAAUAUUAAAAAUACAUAUGCACUCUAGUGAAAGUUCCUAGGUGUUGUGUAGGAGUGAGUGCUUGAUGCAGUUGUCAAGGUAGCUAUAAUGAAAAAUGGUCACGGUUUGAAUGUGCCCCUUUAUCUCACUAACUCUAUAACCCAGUUUUAUCAAGGACUUCAGGCUUGAAGAGCUCAAACUGCAUUUUGAAGCAUAUAUCAUUAAUAUUCACCACCACACCCUCCAAGUGUGUAGGGCAUAUGUUAUUAUCUUCAUGUUUCAGAUGGAAAUACACCAUAAAAAGACGCAGAACAUGUGGGCCUUGGUUAAGGUUCUGAGACUGUUCCCUUUUAGCACCAUCAGCCACGUCCAAUUCAGCUUUAUCCUCGCUGGUAAAAAGCAAUGCCGAGAUAAACCAAGGGGAUGCUGUCAUUUCAACUGAUGUCCCCAAAGUCAGAGUCUGACCAAAAUCAUAAGAUCAAAGGCCUAGGACUAUGAUAAAAAUGAAAGGCCAUGAUGAAGCAAGAUUAGCAAAGAAGCUAUUAUGUCCUGGCCUGGAUAUUCAAACAUCCUUUGAAAAAUAUUAAAAACACAGAGGUGUAUUAUUAUACAAUGGCAUCAAAGCCUAAGCCUCACGUGCAAACAGCCAGCCCACGGGAUCGAAGCAGUGGCCACCCAAGAGCAGGGGUUUCACUUUUGAUUCUGCUGUGAUCAUUCAGCAGGAUCUUGAGCAUUGGUUUCACUGCUUCCAACACUUUGCUGUUUCUCAUUCUUCAAAAUGUCUCUGAGCUUUUGAAAAGGCAGGCGAGAAACACCUGACUUUAGCAACAAUAGUACCACUGAAACCACCAUGAGAAGCAUCAUGCUGAGUAGAUCAGUGAUUCAUCUGAUCCAGAGUCCUGUCACCAUUACCUGAAAUGUUUGUGAGACGGCUUCUUAACACUGACUCUGGGCUUCUGGAAACAUCAUCUUACAAAUGCAACAAUCACACAAGAUUAUUCAUUGUAAUGAUUUUUAUAAUCACAAAAACUUAGGUACAAACUAAGUGUUCAUUAAUAUGAAAUUGGUUAAACAGAUCAUGUACACCCUAUAAUGGAAUAUAAUUUAGCUCUUAAAAAGGAUAAGCAAGAUAUUUGUACAUCAAUAAAGAUAUAUUGGUAAGUCAAUAAAACAAUAUGUGCACACUGGAGUGUAUGUAGGAUGCUACUAUUGGAUUUAAGAACUGAGGAUGAAUAUUUCAGUCAUUUCCCGUAUUCUUAUUGGACCCCUUCUACAUCCCAGGAACUAUAACCCUUCUGGGGAUAUGACGGCAAAGAAGAAACAGACCAAGUUCCCAGCCUUCCAGGAACUUAUUCCUGAUUUAUUGUAUAUGCAUUUUUAAGAUCUUUGGAAAGAUGCACCUAUAACAGUUGGUUUGCACAUAUGAACUUUCAUAUUUUUAAAAUGUUUAAGCCAAAUAAAAUACAAAUAAAGGGGGGAAAUGGGUAAAUAGUAAACACCUUUCUUUAUUAAUCCAAUAUGUAUUUUCACUAAUUUAUCCAAAUUUGUCUUGAUCCUCUUUAUCUAUUUAGAUUAAGUAUUAUGCCCUGUUAGCAGAGCCUUUUCCAUAUAUUUACAUGUGGAAUUUAAAUAAAACAGCAUUCAUUUUGUUUA
rnacentral:lncRNA from 1 species